GGAAGAACCGUGGCUCAGAGGGCAGAGCAUCUGCCUUGCAACCAGAAGAUCACAGGUUCAAUUCCUGGCUUUUCCA